rnacentral:rRNA from 1 species
CCUACGAGAGGCAGCAGUGGGGAAUCUUGCGCAAUGGGCGAAAGCCUGACGCAGCCAUGCCGCGUGUAUGAUGAAGGUCUUAGGAUUGUAAAAUACUUUCACCGGUGAAGAUAAUGACUGUAGCCGGAGAAGAAGCCCCGGCUAACUUCGUGCCAGCAGCCGCGGUAAUACGAAGGGGGCUAGCGUUGCUCGGAAUUACUGGGCGUAAAGGGAGCGUAGGCGGACAUUUAAGUCAGGGGUGAAAUCCCAGAGCUCAACUCUGGAACUGCCUUUGAUACUGGGUGUCUUGAGUGUGAUAGAGGUAUGUGGAACUCCGAGUGUAGAGGUGAAAUUCGUAGAUAUUCGGAAGAACACCAGUGGCGAAGGCGACAUACUGGAUCAUUACUGACGCUGAGGCUCGAAAGCGUGGGGAGCAAACAGGAUUAGAUACCCUGGUAGUCCACGCCGUAAACGAUGAUUGCUAGUUGUCGGGAUGUUUACAUCUCGGUGACGCAGCUAACGCAUUAAGCAAUCCGCCUGGGGAGUACGGUCGCAAGAUUAAAACUACAAAGGAAAUUGACGG